UCCUAUUUGUAUGCCUGUAUCAUUUUUGUAUCUGAAGUUAUGAAUACUGACUAGGGAUCUGUAUUUCAAAUGGGCUUACUCUGGAAAACACCCACAGACAGCCGUUCAGGUAAACCAAUGAAGAAGCCAGACAGGGCUGAUAGCCCAUCAGCAAAGACAAUGGACUGUGGAAUAGCUUAACCUUCCUGUGGGCAUUUUGACUACCCUGUAAACAAUGGCUGCUAUAAGACAGCAAAGGCAUAGGACCAGACCACAUGAAUCUAGACUCCAUCUUGGGAUGUCAGUAUUUUUCCACAAACGGAUCUGGGAACCAAGUUUUGAAACAAAGGGUUCCCGCCAUAUUCUAAAACUAUAUAAGGCAGGGACUGACAUCAUCUGCUGUUUUUCACUCCCCACACAAGAAGACACCUGGAAACACCUGAGAAAAAAAGACUGAACCGGGGGAAGUGCUGGACCAAGGCUAAAGGGAUUUCUUCAUGAAGACCUGUAUAUGAAGACGUGAAAAACCCAAGCUCUAAGACUAAAGCUGCUUGUGCCUUAAGAAUCUACAAGUCUGCCUGUACCAUCAGUUAGGGGUCAGGUGUUCUGCAGGUGUGGAAGGGACACCCUCUCAAGGCCACCAUGCCCAGAAGCUGCUGAAAAAACAGGCAGUAGUGAUUUGAGCGGAUAUCUCACUCCUGAAGGUGACAAAGGCACAGAGAACACAGCUGUAACUGGCAUCCUGAAGCCAUCCAGGCCCAUACGCCCUCAAGCCUGUUGAUUGUAAAGGUGCCAGCCGAGUGGCAUUGGAAAGUGUCCUGCCAUGGAGGAAGAAAUAAGACAGCCAUCCCUAGAAACCUUGAGGAAAGGAUUGCAGAGUAUCUUCAUGAAAUUUGUAUUGAGAUUGCUCAGAAGGAUAAAAGGGACAUCCCUA